rnacentral:lncRNA from 1 species
AAAAACGGAGUUCGUAUGAAUGAGUUACAAAUUAUAAUAGCAUAUUUACGUAUUAAAAUAAAGUAUAAAUCAUAUAUACGUACACAUAUAUAUACAUAUGUAUAUAUCAUUAGAAAGGUAUCGACGAUGCGGUCAUUAUAAGACUAAUGUUGAGUUCUUUCGACAUUAGUUUAGUACAAAUAUCUUUAAAUCUAUUUAAAAUAGUAUUAUAAAGGGGUGUUUAGUUGUUUAUAUAACUAUAAGGUCAUUAAGUAAUUAUGGGGGGUAGUUUUUGUAAAUUCAAUUACUAUAAAUAAGAGGCUUGGGCUCUCAUAUUUCUUGCACCAUUCUCUUGAUUCAAGAGUCUUUCUCUCCUUAUCCCCCGAGCAUUUCGGUCCCUCGUGAUUCGACUUCUCUUUCUAUAGUUUUAGUAUAGUAAGGUGAGCACUGAAGUGCUGCACGAAUCUUUCUUAGAAAGAUUUAGCGAUGAAGUGCUGCCCCUGCAGAGCCCGACUCCUAGGUAAAAUUACCUUGUAAGUAAGUUAUGCUUACCCUAUUUUAAAUAUAGUUUAUAUUUAAAAUUAGUAUGGUUAUUAUAAAUUUAUAAUAAAUAUUUGAGCUAUUACUAUGACUUAUAUAAGUGUCGUUAUAAUAUCUUUUUAACUACUCGCGGUACGGGGAAUCUGGUUUAAGGGACCGCAUAGGGUUGUUGGAUUUCAGAAGUGCUAUACGCCAAAAUGGUCAUGCCUUCCGGUGUUUUAUGUCUGGCCACUGUCUGUACAUAGUGGUUGGAAAGUAUUGUUUAAACGCUUAUAUAAUAAUAAUAAUAAUAAUAAUAAUAAUAAUAAUAAUAAUAAUAAUUAGUCACUGUAAAUAUUAGACUAAAAUCUAGUGGUAUUAAUAGUAGGUUUCGUCGAAUGAAAUUAUUUUAAAGUAAACGAAGUGUUGUCCGAGUACCGAGUCACCACCUUCUCAGAUGAGUGCAUAGUUACUUUCAUCUUACACAUAAAUAUGAAGUAUUUUAUAUAAACUACAUGCUAUAUGUGCAUAUUACCUGAAUACUUGCUGUCUAUGCUAGAUGAACAUUUUUAUACAUGUUUUACGUAUUUUAUAUAUACAAAUAUGUUGGAUAUGACAUGGGUAGAUGAAUGAUGAGAGAUAAAAGAUGAUGUGAGUAAACCUAGGCAGCUACAGACUUAGUGCCUAAUAAAUAACAUCGACAGCUAUGGACUUAGUACCUAUUGGACAAACACUGGUAGCUAUGGAUUUAGUACCUGUUAGGAAUUGGUAGCUAUGGACUUAUUACCUAUUAGCUAACCACUGGUAGCUAUGGAUUUAGUACCUGAUGAAUAAACUAUAGCAGCUAUGGAAUUAGUGCUUUACGAACGAGCCUUGGCAGCUAUGGAUUUAGUGCCAGUCAUAUAAUCCUGGAAGCAAGGGACCUCGGAAUAAAUGAAUACAGGAUAGAUGACUCUUAGGAUAGAUCCUUAAGAGUAAAGAAGAUAAUGGGGAUGGGUAAUUGGGUUGAUUGCUUGAUUGUUUAAACAUAAUAAUUAUAUUAUUGUGGGUUGAAAACCCUAUGUACUCACCAAGUUUCCCAACCUAACUCAGUUUAUUUAUAUCACAGGUGUUGAUAUGAAGUCACAUUACACUGAGAGAUUAAAGAGAUGUAGAUCACUAGUGUAAAUAAAUGUAAGUUCCGUUUACGCUUAUGUUUCUGUAUUGACGAUGACAUCCCAAACAUUUCAAAAUGAAUAAAAUACGUUUCUUCGAAAAUGUUUUGAUAACAUAUUUACCGUGUUUUUCUGGGAACAAAUUCCGCAACAUUUUUAUGAAAAGAAGUACUCUGAUUUUUAGAAAGCAUAAACAAAAUCGGUCUUUUCUGGCCAUGAAAAUGGGGAUGUCAAAGUUGGUAUCAGAGCAUUAGUUUAAGCGAACUAGGAAUUUGUAGGAAAUUUCUAGACUUAAACUUAGAAUGCUAAGCGAUGAUUGUGAGAUGUGUGUCUGCUAUAAUUUAGACAUGAGCACUACUUUAUUUUAGGAAAGAUGCCUAAAAUGAUUUAUGUUAUAGCUAUAAAGAUGCCUUAUAUACUGUUAUUUGUUCGGAUCUAUGGUCUGUUGCCGACCGGAUCUAGAAACCUUAUGUAUUCAGGAUUCUAAGCGUAUGAUUACGAUAUUAGAACUAGCAUCUAACGUUUCGGUGUGUCAAGGAGAUUUAUACGUAUAUCGUAAAUAAAAUCUUUCCUAUAUUAAAUUCUCAUCUCAGUACACCGAACGUCUGCUUGGGUGUACAAAACAAGAGGAAGAUGACAACCUGAGCCUAAGAAUGUGAUGGGUCAUGCAUCGGUCGUUGCGCCUGCACCCGAACCUAUCACAAUGGUAGAAGUUCAGGAAGUGAUGCGAACCAUGAUAAACUGAGAGACGACUUACGAUACUGAAUAAUACCUAUCAGAAGAUAUAAUAAGAGAGAUAUCUUGCCUUUAGAAUACAUCUGAUAAAAUAGCAAUACGUCUAUAGAAGUAGGGUACAUCUGAAUGUACACAUUUGAUUGGCGGGAUGAUAGAACGAUUGAUGUAAUUCCUAACGUUUUCCUAUCAUCUGGAAUGUCCAUCACCAACCGAGUUGAAGCAUAAUUGAUGAUUGAAUAUAUGCAUGGAAGAAGUCCUAGUAGAGUCUAGGGAAAAUUUUAUGAUUAUUUGGACACACUCGUAUGUGUUAAAUUGUUUCGUGAUUUUAGGACUUGGGGACUACGAGACAAUACUUGGGACGAGUAUGAGUAGGUGUGAAAGGUAGUAGAUGCAUAUAUUACCGGAAGCACAGGACUCACGCUUGGAUCGGGGAAAGUAACAAGGUUACCAAGAAGCUAGUAAUUGAUUCCGUUUUGUUCAUGUAUAUCGUUACCAUCGUUUCGGUAAUGACUAAGAAGAUGCUUGUUAUUCCAACCCUAGUGGUCAUAGUAAAUUGAGUCAGAAUAACAUGAGUAUGAUACGUGGUUCAUAGAACCAAGUUCGAUGUAGCAUCUGACUUAAACUAGAAGAUUGAAAUCAAAGCUAACCAAGGCGAUCAUUAGAAGUAUCGCGAUGAUUGUUAAAGAAGUUGGUAGCUAGAAAUGCUACAUGUUGAAAUAUGAUUGUAUCACAUUAGAACAUGAAGGAAGGUAUAGUCUGUUCUGAAAUUUGACUCUACGAGACCUGAUUCUGAGCGUUGCAACAUACGAUGAGAGGUCAUUAGAACGUGACACAUCGACCUAUUGUAGUAAUCUAAUAUACUUAUCUUAAGUUCGUUAAGAAGAAGAAGGAUUCUCCAUUAUGGAUUGAGACUGUGACUUUAAGGUCAUAAUUUGAAGUCUAACGUGAAAUAGGGAGCAAGUGCAAGAUCAAGCACCACCUGCCGUCAAGGAGUCCAAGAGUUAGAAACUUGUUCAAAGCAACAUAUAAGUUACGAUUAUUACCUAGGAUGAAAAGAUAACAUAUGGAGUCAUCAUGUGAGCCCUGUUUCGUUGAUGAUUCAGGGACGUAAUCAUCCUAAGGGGGAGAUAAUUGUAACGUCCGUAGAUCCGGGCUAGUCAAUUUAGAGGUAAUAAGUGUCGAAAAUGACUUUUCGGAAAAAUAUUAUUUAGACUAAAUAAUCUUAACCAAGUUGUAGUAUAUGUUACAAGGUUUCCGUAUAUAUAAAGACCGUCGAAAUCCAAGUUAUAACGAAGAAGUUAUGACCCGUCGAAGUUUAGCGACGGAACCGACACGACACCGCGAAGACGUAAAUAGUGAAUUUAUGAUAGAGAGGCUUUUAGCCUUAGUAAUCUAAAUGAAAGUCGUAGAAUAUGUUAACCUGAGAACGUCCAUAAAAAGAAAGCCCAAAUAUGACUUCGUUUGAGGAAGUUAUGAUUUUUCGAAGUUUCGGCUUAGCGGUGUACAACCCGAAGUUCGAGUAUUAGAUCGAACGGUUUUUAGCCGACACAACCUAAAUGAAAAUAGAAGAUCUCAUUAUUAGUAGCGUAACGAUAACAAGAUAGACAAAAAUGGAAAUCAGAUGAAGAAUUUAUGAGAUUUUAACGGACCAAUUCUGUCCCGGCCUGUUAAAAAUAUAACUUUAAAAAUAAAGUCAAAAUUAGCCGACGAAGUCUAAACGAAAGUUGUAGAGUACGUCUCCACCUACACGUGGAUAUAAAUAACGUCAAAAACAGAGUUCGUAUGAACGAGUUAAAAAAUUAUAAUAGCAUAUUUACGUAUUAAAAUAAAGUAUAAAUCGUAUAUACGUACACAUAUAUAUAUGCAUAUGUAUAUAUCGUUAGAAAGGUAUCGACGAUGCGGUCAUUAUAAGACUAAUGUUGAGUUCUUUCGACAUUAGUUUAGUACAAAUAUUGUUAAAUCUAUUUAAAAUAGUAUUAUGAAUGAGUGUUUAGUCGUUUAUAUAACUAUAAGGUCAUUAAGUAAUUAUGGAGGGUAGUUUUUGUAAAUUCAAUUACUAUAAAUAAGAGGCUUGGGCUCUCAUAUUUCUUGCACCAUUCUCUUGAUUCAAGAGUCUUUCUCUUCUUAUCCCCCGAGCAUUUCGGUCCCUCGUGAUUCGACUUCUCUUUCUGUAGUUUUAGUAUAGUAAGGUGAGCGCUGAAGCGCUGCACGAAUCUUUCUUAGAAAGAUUCAGCGACGAAGUUCUGCCCCUGCAGAGCCCGACUC